AUGUCUGGGAGUCAGUCUGGGAGUAAGCAAGCUGGGGCCGUCUCCUGAGUCUGCUCACCGAUAGCACCUCGAUCUCAGUGAUGUUCCAGAAGGCUUUCCAGAAGUGCACAUCCAGGUUCUGUAUGAUGCGCUCAAACUCAGCCCCCCGCAGCUCCGGGUCGAUUGCGAACCGGCCACCGUGUUCCCCGAAGGACACCAGCCCGAUGGAGAGAGUCUGCAGGAACGGCCGGAUGGCGGGUGUGAACUGUGAAGGGACGCCUGUGUCACCCAACUGCCCAGGAAGGAUGGCACUAGAGUCUCAGUGAAGAUGACAGGGAAUGCACGCACACAGAAGAGACCUUUGAGAUCAAGAACAGAUCACCCUCCUCGGGGCUCAAACUCAAAGGAACUUAGGGGACUACAAAAGAGUGAAUGGGGGAUACAGCUCAACAGCAGACUGCUCGCCUGACAUUCACGAGGCUCUAAGAUCAAGCCAUAAUACUUGAAAUAGAAAAAGAACAAAUGAACCUCCCCCGCCCCAGGGAUUAAAGCUCUGGUCUCAUGCA